rnacentral:rRNA from 1 species
GACGAACGCUGGCGGCGUGCUUGACACAUGCAAGUCGAACGGAAAGGCCCUGCUUUUGUGGGGUGCUCGAGUGGCGAACGGGUGAGUAACACGUGAGUAACCUGCCCUUGACUUUGGGAUAACUUCAGGAAACUGGGGCUAAUACCGGAUAGGAGCUCCUGCUGCAUGGUGGGGGUUGGAAAGUUUCGGCGGUUGGGGAUGGACUCGCGGCUUAUCAGCUUGUUGGUGGGGUAGUGGCUUACCAAGGCUUUGACGGGUAGCCGGCCUGAGAGGGUGACCGGCCACAUUGGGACUGAGAUACGGCCCAGACUCCUACGGGAGGCAGCAGUGGGGAAUAUUGCACAAUGGGCGGAAGCCUGAUGCAGCAACGCCGCGUGCGGGAUGACGGCCUUCGGGUUGUAAACCGCUUUCGCCUGUGACGAAGCGUGAGUGACGGUAAUGGGUAAAGAAGCACCGGCUAACUACGUGCCAGCAGCCGCGGUGAUACGUAGGGUGCGAGCGUUGUCCGGAUUUAUUGGGCGUAAAGGGCUCGUAGGUGGUUGAUCGCGUCGGAAGUGCAAUCUUGGGGCUUAACCCUGAGCGUGCUUUCGAUACGGGUUGACUUGAGGAAGGUAGGGGAGAAUGGAAUUCCUGGUGGAGCGGUGGAAUGCGCAGAUAUCAGGAGGAACACCAGUGGCGAAGGCGGUUCUCUGGGCCUUUCCUGACGCUGAGGAGCGAAAGCGUGGGGAGCGAACAGGCUUAGACACCCUGGUAGUCCACGCUGUAAACGGUGGGUACUAGGUGUGGGGUCCAUUCCACGGGUUCCGUGCCGUAGCUAACGCUUUAAGUACCCCGCCUGGGGAGUACGGCCGCAAGGCUAAAACUCAAAGGAAUUGACGGGGCCCCGCACAAGCGGCGGAGCAUGCGGAUUAAUUCGAUGCAACGCGUAGAACCUUACCUGGGUUUGACAUGGAUCGGGAGUGCUCAGAGAUGGGUGUGCCUCUUUUGGGGUCGGUUCACAGGUGGUGCAUGCCUGUCGUCAGCUCGUGUCGUGAGAUGUUGGGUUAAGUCCCGCAACGAGCGCAACCCUUGUUCACUGUUGCCAGCACGUUAUGGUGGGGACUCAGUGGAGACCGCCGGGGUCAACUCGGAGGAAGGUGGGGAUGACGUCAAGUCCUCAUGCCCCUUAUGUCCAGGGCUUCACGCAUGCUACAAUGGCUGGUACAGAGAGUGGCGAGCCUGUGAGGGUGAGCGAAUCUCGGAAAGCCGGUCUCAGUUCGGAUUGGGGUCUGCAACUCGACCUCAUGAAGCCGGAGUCGCUAGUAAUCGUAGAUCAGCAACGCUGCGGUGAAUACGUUCCCGGGACU